rnacentral:rRNA from 1 species
CGGCGAACGGGUGAGUAACGCGUGGAUAACCUGCCCUGAGGUGGGGGAUAACCAAGGGAAACUUUGGCUAAUACCGCAUGAUACCGAGAGGUCAAAGGGGGCUCGCAAGGGCUCUCGCCAUAGGAGGGGUCCGCGUCCGAUUAGCUAGUUGGUGAGGUAAGAGCCCACCAAGGCAGAGAUCGGUAGCCGGCCUGAGAGGGCACACGGCCACACUGGCACUGAAACACGGGCCAG